rnacentral:lncRNA from 10 species
GCAGUUAAAAUGAGGGCGAAAAAGGCUUUUGUUUCAGUUCUGCAGAUGGUCUGGGAGUUUGUGUUUCUUAGCAAGAAUUUUCUAGACGUUUUGGCUUGAACCAUCUGAAAAACUGCCUCAAGCUUUUGCAUGGUUCCCACUGGGUGGGCUGGGUUGGGAGGGGCUGUCGUGCAUGGUCCGGGAAAGCUGGAGAAGGCUGUUCCUUCACCCCGAGCCUUGGAUUUCUUAUCUGUGAAAUGGGAGGCUGCAAUGAUGAAUGGCAAAGUACCUUUUUUUUUCAGCUCUGAAAGUCUAGGAUAUUUUGCCACUGGAAGACCAGCAGACAAUGUCAUGACAACUCAAGAGGAUACAACAGGGCUGCAUCAAAAGACAAGUCUUUGGACCAUGUCAAGACCUGGAGCGAAGAAGGUAAUGAACUCCUACUUCAUAGCAGGCUGUGGGCCAGCAGUUUGCUACUACGCUGUCUCUUGGUUAAGGCAAGGUUUCAGUAUCAACCUGACUUCUUUUGGAAGGAUCCCUUGGCCUCACGCUGGAGUGGGCACCUGCCCUAGCCCACAGAGCUGGAUUUCUCCCUUUCUUCAAUCACACAGGGAGCACCACUAUGCAAAGACCUCAUCACAUUCACAGCCGUCUCCGCAGAGCCUCGCACUGUGCUUGGCAUAUAGCAGGUGCUCAAUAAAUAUCUGCCAAAUGACUGAAUGCAUCUCGCUAGCCUCAGGAUGCCACCAGGCCCUGAGGGAGCCAGGAAGAUCAGAGGAAAGCUUUUGGAUUCCUGCCACACCUUACAUUAGCAACAUCUUCUCCGAGUCCUGACAGCCAGCCUCCUGGGACACCAUUCAAGCCAGCUGAAUUCCGGUCACCGCUUCACCUUGGAAAGGCAUCCGCAGCCCUCACCAAGCGGCCCCGUAAUUGACGUCACAGCGGGGCCAGGAGCUGCCCUGUUAAUAUUUAAUGUGGCCUUCACUGCGCAAAAUGCAGCCUCUAAGAGCUGGAGGGGCCGUGCAGAGUCUCCAUGGGGUUGUGAGGAGGGCACAGAAGGGAAAGGGCUUUAUAAACCAUAAAGCGCCCAACAGAUGAGCAUUCUGCCGACCCAUUUCAGUCCCUGGCUUAACUCAGAAAGAGCCGGGGCUGCACAUGCCUGCAGUGGGACAAGAAGACUGCUGACCAAGCCCGAACACUAAAUCAAUGGGGGAUUAGGGGCUCCUGGGUACAUUCCAUUGAGACAGCGGGAGAGCAGAGCACUGGUGCCAGCCCAACCUGGACUCCACUCCAGGUUUGCCCCCUGCACAGCUGUGUGACUGGGUCAGCAAGUGCACUGCUGAGCCUCAGUCCCCCUUAUCUGUGAAAUGGGAAUGAUGCUUUCCUUGUAGCACUGCUGUGAAGAUUCAAUGAAACGAGUGAUGCCGAAGACCUAGCUUCACCCAUCGCAGGCUGUCAACACAGGCUGAGACCCUUCUCCAAAACCAGGCCUGGGACCUGAGGUUGGAGAGAGGAGACACGGGGUCCCUUCAGGCAUUCACUGGGCAGAGUGAUGGUGGGAGGGAAGAAGGAGCAAGGAGGCACAGGAAGGAUGACCUGGGAGCCAAGCAUCUCAGGUUUGGACUUUUCACCCUGGUGGGCCCACGCCAGGAGAGGUAUCAGAGAGAGGAUGGGUGGAGGGCCCCAGGAUGGCAGAAGCAGAAGGGCCCUCAUGGACAAUCUCUCUGAUCAUCUGACCCCUUUGUUUGGCAGAUGAGCAUCUGGGAGGGAGUAAACCAUGCCAGGGGCUCACAUGGCACAGCUGGGGUCUGACUGGCCUGCAGCCCUCUGGGGCUUCAUCAGCUAGGGUUUAUCCAAGGCCACAUGCCUAGUCCGGGAGGCAGAUGUGUUGGAAGACAUGAUGCAAUGGCCCCAUUCCUGGUGGUGACCUCCACUUCUUUGGCCAGGACAAUAGGAGGAACCUCAUCCCCCGCCCCUUCCUGGUCUCCCUCCAGUCUAUUUUCCCACGAAUCCUGGGAGCUUCCCAAAACGUAAAUCUGACCUUGUCCUCGCCCUGCUUAAAACCUUUCCAUGAUCCCACACUUAAGGUCUCCAGAGAAAAUACAGGAGGCUCAGUUAAAACUGAAUUUCAAGCUGGGUAUGGUGGCACACACCCGUAGUGCUACUCAACAGGCUGAGGCAGGAAGAUUGCUUGAGGCCAGGAGUUUGAGGCCAGCCUGGGC